rnacentral:rRNA from 1 species
UACAGAGGUCUCAAGCGUUGUUCGGAUUCAUUGGGCGUAAAGGGCUCGUAGGCGGCCUGUCGCGUCGGAAGUGAAAGCCCACUGCUUAACGGUGGGUCUGCUUCCGGUACGGGCAGGCUAGAGUAUGGCAGGGGAGACUGGAAUUCCUGGUGUAGCGGUGAAAUGCGCAGAUAUCAGGAGGAACACCGGUGGCGAAGGCGGAUCUCUGGGCCAUUACUGACGCUGAGGAGCGAAAGCGUGGGGAGCGAACAGG